rnacentral:rRNA from 1 species
GAUACCCUAUUAUUUUAGAUGUUAUUAUUUUUCUAUAAUUAUUAUUAGUUAAGUUCUUUAAAAUUAAACAAUUUGGCGGUAUUUUAGUCUAUUCAGAGGAACCUGUUUUUUAAUCGAUGGUCCACGAUAAUUUUUACUUUAAUUUUAAAUUUAUAUAUCGUCGUUAUUAAUAAUUUUAUGAGAAUUUUAAUUUUUGAGAUUUUUUAUUAUAAAUUAGUUCAGAUCAAGGUGUAGUUUAUGUUAAAGUUAAAAUGGGUUACAUUUCAUUUAUGAUUGGUUCUUUUUUUUAAAUUUUUAGAUAAAUUGGAUUUGAUAGUAAAUUCUUUAUUUAGUGGAGUUGAUUUAGCUCUAAAAUAUGCACAUAUCGCC